rnacentral:rRNA from 1 species
UACGUAGGGUGCGAGCGUUAAUCGGAAUUACUGGGCGUAAAGCGUGCGCAGGCGGUUCGUUGUGUCGGCGGUGAAAGCCCCGGGCUCAACCUGGGAAUGGCCGUUGAAACUGGCGAACUGGAGUGUGGCAGAGGGGGGUGGAAUUCCGCGUGUAGCAGUGAAAUGCGUAGAGAUGCGGAAGAACACCGAUGGCGAAGGCAGCCCCCUGGGCUGACACUGACGCUCAGGCACGAAAGCGUGGGGAGCAAACAGG